rnacentral:rRNA from 1 species
CCGGCCGAGGAGGAGCCCGCGGCGGAUUAGCUUGUUGGUGAGGUAACGGCUCACCAAGGCUCCGAUCCGUAGCUGGUCUGAGAGGACGAUCAGCCACACUGGGACUGAGACACGGCCCAG